UGAACGCUAGCGGCAGGCCUAAUACAUGCAAGUCGGACGGGAUUCAGGAGCUUGCUUCUGAUGAGAGUGGCGCACGGGUGCGUAACACGUAUGUAACCUACCUUUAUCAGGGGGAUAGCCUCUCGAAAGAGAGAUUAAGCCCGCAUAAAAUCACAGCACAGCAUUGUGUAAUGAUCAAAUAUUUAUAGGAUAAAGAUGGGCAUGCGGAACAUUAGCUAGAUGGCGGGGUAACGGCCCACCAUGGCGACGAUGUUUAGGGGAUCUGAGAGGAUGGCCCCCCACACUGGUACUGAGACACGGACCAGACUCCUACGGGAGGCAGCAGUAAGGAAUAUUGGUCAAUGGGCGGAAGCCUGAACCAGCCAUGCCGCGUGCAGGAAGACGGCCCUACGGGUUGUAAACUGCUUUUAUACGGGAAUAAACCCAGAUACGUGUAUCUGGCUGAAUGUACUGUAAGAAUAAGGAUCGGCUAACUCCGUG
rnacentral:rRNA from 1 species